CAGUAGCCAGCUCAGGUAUUCUCAACAUUCUCUGAUUCUGAGCUACACUACCAAGACCAAGCUACUACUACUACUACUACUGUCACUGUGUUACUCUCAACAUUCUCUGAUUCUGAGCUACUCUACCAAGACCAAGCUACUACUACUACUAUCACUGUGUUACUCUCAACAUUCUCUGAUUCAUGUCCAGAUCGGUUGGCAGAAUGUCUCUGCUGCUUUGUUGUAUAGUGAUGGCUCUGCACCUCGCAACAGGGCUGGAUGCUGCCCCGGGGGUGGUGGUGAAUACUACAGAG